AAUCAACGCUGGCGGCGUGCCUCAGACAUGCAAGUCGAACGCGAAAGUUCCCUUCGGGGAGCAAGUAGAGUGGCGCACGGGUGAGUAACACGUAGGUAAUUUGCCUUCGGGUGGGGAAGUAACAGUCGGAAACGACUGCUAAUACCGCAUAAUGCAGCGGCUCGACAUCGAGACAGUUGUUAAAGCGGGGGAGUCCUUCGGGACCUCGCGCCUGAAGAGAAGCCUGCGGCAGAUUAGCUAGUUGGUGAGGUAAUGGCCCACCAAGGCUACGAUCUGUAACCGGCCUGAGAGGGCGGUCGGUCACACUGACACUGACAUACGGGUCAGACUCCUACGGGAGGCAGCAGUCGGGAAUUUU
rnacentral:rRNA from 1 species